AUGCAUGAUACCAGUGUCUUGUAUCAUGCAAUUGAAGCUGACAAAGAUACCUUCCCUCAUCCUCCAAAGGGUAAGUACUAUCUUGUGGACGCGGGCUAUCCUAAUAGACCUGGAUAUCUCGCACCUUACAAGGGAGAAAGGUACCACGUGCCUGAUUUUCAACGAGGUGUGGCGCCAAGAACACCUAAGGAGAAAUUUAACAAGAUACACUCAUCCAAGCGUAAUGUGAUCGAGAGAGCAUUUGGUGUGUGGAAAAUGAAGUGGCAGAUUCUACUAAAGAUGCCCAAUUAUUCAGUUGAAACUCAAAAGAUGAUAGUGGCUGCCACUAUGACCCUUCACAACUACGUUCGAUAUCAUGAUAAGGGUGAUCUUCACUUUCUUCGAGUCGACAGAGAUCCCAACUAUGUCCCAACUAUCCCUUCAAGAUAUCAAUGGUAUGCCAUCCCUCCGAAUGCAUCAGAUGUGUCAACCUCGGAGGCUAGUGAUAAAGACAUGGACCUGUUCCGUAAUAGACUAGCAACUAAUAUUGCUCUUGGUUGGUGACUUCCACUUCUGCUAUAAAUGUGAAACCAUCCGAAGCAGAGUAUAUAU